rnacentral:snRNA from 1 species
UAAAAUAAAAACUGGAACGAUAUAGAGGAGAUUAGCAUGGCCCCUGCACAAGGAUGACAUGCAAAUUCGUGAACCAUUCCAUAUUUUU